UGUAUAAUAUGGCACAAGGUCUAGAAAAUUUGUUUUCUGAUUCGACCUUAAGCAUUGGAAAUUUUUUACCAGUUUUAUUAAUACUCUGCCAUAAACCGCUAAGUUAACAAAAUAAAAAUAAUGCAAAGAACGAACAAAAAAAAAAACUAGCAAACAUGGCUGACUGACACUGACAGUGACUGUGACAGGACUGACAGUUACUGACUUUACUUUGGAAGUUACCAAACAACUUUACAAAGCCGUGACCCCGUGAGUCUAGUGAUGACAGUGUCUUCGUAUUACGCCGAGGUUUUUAUUUUUUUAAAUGUGGAAUGGUUGCUAAAUAACGUAAAAUCUGCGUUUUUGGUGGCAUACUAGUGAUGCGAAAUAACGUAAAAUCUGUAUUUAUGGUGGUACUCGUUACCUAUGAUUUUGCGGAUUUCCAUGUGGCCUAUCCUAGUAUAGUAGUAGGCCUAUUGCGGCAACCAAUGUUGUAGGCUAGUUCUGGCCUAGGCUAUACUCUCUCCUCAUAGGCCUACCUAUUUUUACAGUUCGGAACAGCGGAACUUUAUUCCUUGUCUUUAAAUGAGCUCGCCAUCGUUCUGCUUUAAAGUAAAACAAGUCCCAGUAUCCUUUAAAAGGAAGACCAUUCAAAUAAGGGAGGGAAGGCAGAUCCGAUCUAGUUCAUUAAUGUUUCUGUUCAGCAUCGUCUUGGCAACAUUGCAAUCAACUAUGAGCAUCUGCCAGAUGUGGCUUCAGUCUUUGUUCCCCCCACCCCCAUCCUCCCCGGAAAGAAAUAAACUGUGGCGUUGUUUCUGUUUUAGAAUUCUCUGCUAUUCUUCAAGAAGAGAAGGAAACUAUUGUGAAAAAGUGCUAAUGGCGUGUUCGUCUUGUAUACUACUGAUUCUGCAUUGCAGUUUCGUAAUCUAUUUGAUUUCUGAAAUUUCAUUGUUGAUGAAGUGAAAUAAAGAAUCAGUAGAAAAUGCUGAUAAUUCCAAUUUCCAGUUUUUUUUAAUAUUAGGGAAUUAUAUGUGAAUGAAAGUAGUAAUAUGAAAAAAGAUAGAAAAACAGCUAGUUUUGCUGCUGUUUACAUAAAGUAAUUUACCGUGUGGAUCGGAGGUUAUUCUGAAUGGUUUCCUUUUAUAAUUUCUCUUGACAAAUGUACUACGCUUUCACUUGGUUUUUGCUCUAAUCGAUAUAGUAAUCAAUGUUCAUGUAAGUGUAUUUGUGUAUAUUGUUGACCUUGUUUGUAUUGAAACAAUUGGUUUUAAAUUUAUGUAAACAAUAAGCUAUUUUCCCGAACGUUGUGACCCCAGAGAAAAUCUGACACAAUGGUCACUUCAUAUUCAUUCCUUUUUACACUCGGUCAAGGAUGAAUCGUUUCAUGUGUAUACUCCCACAGAUGCUACAUCAGGGGAGACAACCCUACUGCGAGAUACAUCUCUGGUUUUAAAACACACACACACACUUGCUUGGGUAUUAAAACCCUUCCGUUCCAAUACUACUUUUGCUCCAUGUAUCCAUCACUCUCUUAGUUUACCUACUCCAGUAAUUCCGAAUUAUACAUUUUUCACCAACCUAGCACCUUGCUGUCCUUCCACACGGACUGUCUCAAAACAGUAAUCCAUCUAUUCACUAAUCUUACCUGAUGAACCCCUUUUGGCCAUAUAUUGCAUUAUACAUCUGUAAUAAAAGGUAUCGCCUUCUGCGCUUUCAUUAACUUCCUUCAUCAUUUCAUCCAUGUAAAUGUUGGCAACUAAGGAACUUGGAGAGAGGGCGGGGUUGAGUUUGAGUGGUGUGGUGUUUAUGCUACUGUUUUUAGCCGAUAUUUGAGUCUUGAUUAAAACUGCCUACCUUUAGUGAAUAUUUUCAUACAAUGAUUAUGCACUUGGCUACAGUAUGCUUUACAGUAAAUUGGUUUGCAUAUUUACCUAGAUAUUAAAGUUAGCGAAUUCCAAUUUCUUCUUAAUUUCGUGUUCUUGAAAAUCUUUGUACCAGUGCAAGAGCUCUCAGAGUCAUGGCAAAUAAUAGUGGCUAGAAGAGGUAGUGAAAAAGAGGGACUCCAGAAACGUCGAGAAUAAAUAAUACAGUUCUUUUGUAAAAAGAAUUCUUCAAUUUAUCUGAGA